rnacentral:sRNA from 1 species
GCUGGGUGUGGUGGCACACACCUGUAAUCCCAGCAGCUUGGGAGGCUCAGGCAGGAGGAUCAUGAGUUCAAAGUCAGCCUUAGCAACUUAAUGAGACCCUGUCUCU